rnacentral:lncRNA from 1 species
UUGUACCUCAUGAUGGAAUCCAGCCUCUGCAGCUUCAGCUGCUGCUUGAACUUGUUGAUGAAAUCGUCGGCCUUGGCGUCCACCUCGUCGUCGACUGGGGCACCGCUCACCUUAGCCUCCCUCACCGUGGCCGGGCGGCGGUUCUCCACGAUGUCCUCUUCUUUGAAGUGUGCAAAGGCAGACUUGCUGCUUGCUGACUUUUUCAUCUUCCGCGGCAGUUUCACCGGAACCUCACCAGAAGAAGGCUUGGUGUCAGAGUGUGUCCUAGUGAAAUGACCAUCUUGCCCCUGCUGCUGCAAUUUGCUGUAAAUCUCGUCCAGGGAAGAACCCUCUUCGCGGUCUCCAAGGCUGUAGUCGUAACCACCGCUCACGACAGGAAAGUCAUCGUCUUCCUCUUUUUCCUCGUCGGUUUCGACCACCUGGGGUGGCGGCAAGUGGGGUUUGUCCGGCGCGUGGGAAAGUGUGACUGCUUGGGGAACUUGGGGAACUUGGGGAGUGAGUUUUGAAGUGAAGGGUUCGGUGGGGAGGUAAGUGUAGAGGUUGAUGGAUUUGAGUCUUUGAAGGAGCGAAGGAGAUCUAGCAAGUUGGAAGGUUUCGUUUUGAUGGGUUUGAGAUUCAUGAAAGUGUGGGUGUGGAGGGUCUUGGGAGGGGUAGAAGUUGAUGGAUUUGAGUCUCUGCAAGAUGGAAGGGGAUCUAGGGAGGUGUGGGUGUGGAAAGUCAUUAGCUUGAUGAUGUUGGGCAUGAGGGUCUUGGUGUUGGUGUUGGUGGUGUUUGGAGCUGGCAAGGUUGGAGAUGAUGAAGAUGGUUCCGAUGACUAGUUGGAGGAGGAGGAAGAAGACGGUGGGUGUGAACCAGCUGUAAAGGGUGGCUAAGAAUGUCGGGGAGGAUGAGACUGCUUCCUGAAGCAUGGUUGUGGUUUGAAAGGUUUGAGAAGUUGAAGAAGAGAGAAGAGGUUGUUGGUAUGGUUGGUUGGGUUUGAUUUGGUUAUGUAGGGUGUGUGUACUUGUUUAGUGUUUAGAUAUUUAGCUAAUGUUAUUCAAUCUAUAUAAAUAAGUAAAUAAAUUAGAAAGAAAUUAAAUUUAAAUAAUAUGAGAAUAUUGGUAAGGGUAAAAGUUAAUUUUAUUUAUUUAUUUAUUUAUUUAUUUUGAGUGUAUGAAGAAAAGGCAUGUGAAAUAAAAGGAUUGGUUGAGAGAACUCGAAGAUCGAGAAAAGCGUGGUGGCAUAUGAUGGUUCUGCAACAAAGGGACAAAAUUAGAGGGUAGAUUUGUGAAACGUGGGACACUUCUUCGUUGAAUUUUCGGAUAUUCAUGUCGACCUUCACUUCAACAAAACCUGAAUUCAAUUUCAACCCAUCUUAUGAAUAUAGAGGUAUGGGUUAUCACCCCAACCACUCAAUUCAUGACUUUCACUGUUGAAAUUAGUUUUUAUUUUAAAUUUUUAUAUAAUUAUAU